ACGACUUCGGAGGGCCCAGGGUCCUUUGAGCUCCUAGAGGUCCCGUGUGGAACCAUCUGGAAGAGGUAGGAUCCCCUCGCGAGUUUACCCCGGACGUGUGGCGAAUAAAGUUAAGCAUUUUUAACGGUGAUCACCAGAACGCACCUUUGGAUGCUGCAGCAUAAAGUCCACGGCUUCUUCAAAGUACUCCAGAUGUACAUCAUUCAGAUCUUCGGGGAGGUCUUCAAAUCUGAAAUAAGCCAGGGCAAGCACAGCAAAACCAUGUCCGGCCAGGAGGCUGGCCCUGUAUUCACAAAGGCCCCUGCUGCUCCCAAACAGAUCAAUGAUCCCAGGAAAGGGCCCCCUGCCUGGAGAACAUCACAAAUCACAGGGAGCUUUAGUUUCUCAAAAGACAGUAAGCAAACAAGUUUUUGAAGCCAAGGAGAUUGGGGGUAGAGAGAUUGGCAGAGAAAGAACAAAAUGUCUUAUUUUCUCAAACAAUAAUGAUAAUAUAGAGGGAUAAAAAACUACAUAUUGGGUACAAUGUAUACUACUCAGGCGACAGGUGCACUAAAAUCUCAGCGUUCAUCACUGUACAGUUCAUCCGUGUAACCCCAAACCACCUGUACACCAAAAGGUAUUGAAAUUAAAAAAAAAAUUUUUUUUUGACAGUCUCACUCUGUCGCCCAG
rnacentral:lncRNA from 10 species